GGGUUGUGAGGUUAAGCGACUAAGCGUACACGGUGGAUGCCCUGGCAGUCAGAGGCGAUGAAGGGCGUGCUAAUCUGCGAUAAGCGCCGGUAAGGUGAUAUGAACCGUUAUAACCGGCGAUACCCGAAUGGGGAAACCCAGUGUGAUUCGUCACACUAUCAUUAACUGAAUCCAUAGGUUAAUGAGGCGAACCGGGGGAACUGAAACAUCUAAGUACCCCGAGGAAAAGAAAUCAACCGAGAUUCCCCCAGUAGCGGCGAGCGAACGGGGAGGAGCCCAGAGCCUGAAUCAGCAUGUGUGUUAGUGGAAGCGUCUGGAAAGGCGCGCGAUACAGGGUGACAGCCCCGUACACAAAAGCGCAUGUGCUGUGAGCUCGAUGAGUAGGGCGGGACACGUGGUAUCCUGUCUGAAUAUGGGGGGACCAUCCUCCAAGGCUAAAUACUCCUGACUGACCGAUAGUGAACCAGUACCGUGAGGGAAAGGCGAAAAGAACCCCGGCGAGGGGAGUGAAAAAGAACCUGAAACCGUGUACGUACAAGCAGUGGGAGCACAGGUUUACCUGUGUGACUGCGUACCUUUUGUAUAAUGGGUCAGCGACUUAUAUUCUGUAGCAAGGUUAACCGUAUAGGGGAGCCGGAGGGAAACC
rnacentral:rRNA from 1 species